AACCAGCGAAAAAUGUAUCAGUCAGAAUUUGUAUUUCAAUCUGAAACAGACAAACUAUUUAGCCCCAGUUGUUUGAAGGAAGAAAUCCGCAAUGAAAAAUAUCCACUUUUUUCUACUCGUUGUUCUCCUUGUGGCCGCCGUAGGGGUGGCACAUGUUGACGCCAUCAACUGCCAAGAUCAAGGUGGGAAUUGCAAACUUGUAAACACCGGAAGUUGUCAGAGCGAGGGGAAGCGUCGUGUCGGGUAUACCAGCGGUUGCAGACCACCAGAGCAUUGUUGCGUAUAAUAUUUUCAUAGGGUAACAAGUCCCACGCGUUGAAUCAUCAUCCAAAUGGAGAAGAGAUGCAAUUACUAAAAUUGUUAUAUUUAGUUGAAAAAUUCCAAUUCCAAUAGCAUUUAUGUAUGUACCUAAUACGUGUGUGCGAAGCCUAAACGAGCUACCAUUUUUAUUGUAAAUGUACAUAAUCUUCAAAAUAUGUAAUAAAUUUUACCUUUCCGCACUGGAUUCA